UGCACGUCUCAGUGCGAACCGAGACUCAUGGUGAAACCGCGAAUGGCUCAUUAAAUCAGUUGUGGUUCAUUCGGCGCAUCACCUGUACCUACUUGGAUAACCGUGGCAAUUCUAGAGCUAAUACAUGCCCGGAGGCCCCGACCGAGGGUUCGGAAGGGGCGCUCUUAUUAGACCAAAACCAAUCGGCCCGGAAGCUGGCCGUCACCCCGUGUGGCGGACCGGCGUCUCCGCGGUCGUUAUUCUUGGUGACUCUGAAUAAACCCGUAGAUCGCACGGUCCGAGUACCGGCGACGCACCUUUCAAAUGUCUGCCUUAUCAACUUUCGAUGGUAGGCUCCGCGCCUACCAUGGUUGUAACGGGUUACGGGGAAUCAGGGUUCGAUUCCGGAGAGGGAGCCUGAGAAACGGCUACCACAUCCAAGGAAGGCAGCAGGCGCGCAAAUUACCCACUCCCGGCACGGGGAGGUAGUGACGAAAAAUAACGAUACGGGACUCAUCCGAGGCCCCGUAAUCGGAAUGAGAACACUUUAAAUCCUUUAUCGAGGACCCAUUGGAGGGUAAGUCUGGUGCCAGCAGCCGCGGUAAUUCCAGCUCCAAUAGCGUAUAUUAAAGUUGUUGCGGUUAAAAAGCUCGUAGUCGGACCUGUGUCCCACGCUGCCGGUUCACAGCCCGUCUGUGUUUAACUGGCACGCACGUGCGGACGUCCUGUCGGCGGGCCGAGCGAGCGCGCUAAGCGCGAGGGUGUCGUCACAGCGGCUCGCGGCGGGCGUCCCGGUAACACGGGCUCCGUCCGUCCGCGCGUCGCAGCGCCCCUCGUGCCGCGCGUCUUCGGGAGGCCCUCCCUUUUUUACCCGACCGUGUGCCUUUGACCGGGUGCCCGGCCGGGCCGGCACUGUUACUUUGAACAAAUUAGAGUGCUUAAAGCAGGUACGUCCCGCCUGAAUACCGGUUGCAUGGAAUAACGUAAAAGGACCUCGGUUCUAUUUUGUUGGUUUUCGGAAGUCCGAGGUAAUGAUCAAUAGGGACGGCCGGGGGCAUUCGUAUUGCGGCGUUAGAGGUGAAAUUCUUGGAUCGUCGCAAGACGGACUAAAGCGAAAGCAUUUGCCAAGAAUGUUUUCUCUGAUCAAGAACGAAAGUUAGAGGCUCGAAGGCGAUCAGAUACCGCCCUAGUUCUAACCAUAAACGAUGCCAGCUCGCAUUUCGCCGCAGUUCCUCCGAUGACUCGGCGGGCGGCCCACGGGAAACCAAAGCUCUUGGGUUCCGGGGGUAGUAUGGUUGCAAAGCUGAAACUUAAAGGAAUUGACGGAAGGGCACCACCAGAACUGGAGCCUGCGGCUCAAUUUGACUCAACACGGGAAAUUUCACCAGGCCCAGACACCGGAAGGAUUGACAGAUUGAGAGCUCUUUCUUGAUUCGGUGCGUGGUGGUGCAUGGCCGUUCUUAGUUGGUGGAGCGAUUUGUCUGGUUUAUUCCGUUAACGAACGAGAUUCUAACCUGCUAACUAGUCGCCCGGUAUCCACUGAGCUACCGGCGAUUUAAAAUCUUCUUAGAGGGACAGGCGGCGUCUAGUCGCACGAGAUUGAGUAAUAACAGGUCUGUGAUGCCCUUAGAUGUUCUGGGCCGCACGCGCGCUACACUGAAGGAAUCAGCGUGUUUUCCCUGUCCGAGAGGUCCGGGUAACCCGUUGAAACUCCUUCGUGCUAGGGAUUGGGGCUUGUAAUUUUUCCCCAUGAACGAGGAACUCCCAGUAAGCGCGAAUCAUUAGUUCGCGCUGAUUACGUCCCUGCCCUUUGUACACACCGCCCGUCGCUACUACCGAUUGAAUGAUUUAGUGAGGUC
rnacentral:rRNA from 1 species